CCCGCCACGACGCCCGGCUAAUUUUUUGUAUUUUUUAGUAGAGACGGGGUUUCACCAUGUUAGCAGGAUGGUCUUGAUUUCCUGACCUUGUGAUCCGCCCGCCUCGGCCUCCCAAAGUGCUGGGAUCAUAGGCGUGAGCCACCGCGCCCGGCCAAGAAAAACGCAUACUUUUAAGUCAGGUGGGGUGGCACGCACCUGUAGUCCCAACUACUCAGGAGGCUGAGGCAGAAGGAUUGCUUAAGGCCAGGAGUUUGAAGAUAUAGUGCACUAUGAUCAUACCUAGGAGUAGCCACUGCACUCCAGCCUAGGCAACAUACGAAACCCUGUUUCAAAAAAUAAAUUGGUACUUAAGCUAAUUUGUUAGUUUUUUAAAUCAUCUGUAACUGAAAAUAUCCUCGAUAUCCUCAUUGAUACUGUAUAUUAUUAUUACUAUCAUCUUCCCAUGUAUAUCAAACCUUUGUCAUUAGAUCAUAAUGUCCUUUGGAACAAAAAUGAACUAAAAUGAACUUACUGAGCAGUAUGCUGCCAUUCCACCUAGUACAGAUCUGGCACAUAGCAGGUUCUCGUCCAUUCACACUUCAUAUUGGAUACUAAUUUCACCCUGGUAUCUAUGGAUUUUCAGCAUUUAUUUAUUUAUUUAUUUUGAGAUGGAGGAGUCUCGCUCUGUCGCCCAGGCUAGGUUGCAAUGGUGCAAUCUUGGCUCAUUGCAACCUCCACCUCCUGGGUUCAAGUGUUCUCCUGCCUCAGCCUCCCAAGUACCUGAGACUACAGGCAUGCACCACCAUGCCAGCUAAUUUUUGUAUUUUUAGUAGAGACUGGGGUUUCACCAUGUUGGCCAGGCUGGUCUCAAAGUUCUCACUUCGGGUGAUCCGCCCACCUCAGCCUCCCAAAGUGCUGGGAUUAUAGCGGUGAAUUACCGUGCCCGGCCCAGACUUUGAGCAUCUUUAAGGAAGAAAGAGGAGGUGGCCAGAGUCCCAGGUAGGGUGAUGGCCUGCUGCUGCUUUGUCUUUUUACUGUCCUAUAAUGAGCGGAAAGUAAAAUAGUUAAUAGACUAGUUCAUCCUUAUUGAGCACCAGGGAUUGUACACACUGGAUCAUCAUUCUUCCUGUCAGUUACCUAUGGGUAUAUUAUUAAUGCCCUGUGUUGCAGAUUGGAAAUUUAUGCUCAACAAUGAUAUUUAACUUAUGUAGAUCACAUAGCCUCUACAUAGCAUAAUUUAGGAUCCUGUGCUCAAAUUACUGUAUCCAUAACUUUUUGUCAUCCCACUUUAAAGAAAAUGAAAUUAGAAGUCUUAGACAAUGCAUUCUGAGUAUGGCUUACAUACUCAGUAAAAUGGUAUACAGCGCUAAUCAACAGACCCAGACUCAAAAAGCUUUGGACUGCUACCAAGAGAUUCGUAAAUAAAUGUACAUUAACUUUAAAUAAAAUGUGUAUGGUAUGUAUGAUUCAUUUUUUAUGAUUUCUCACUUUCCCAACAUUUUCAGAUAACUCAUCGUUUCCUCAAUCACAUCAGAGAGAUCUUGAUGGUUUUCUUUUUGGAACUUAACAGUUUAAAAACCUAAAUAGGAUCAUGCCAAACAUAUUGUUCUGUGACUUGAUUUUUUUCAGUGGAUAAUCAUCUCUUGGAGUCUUGCCAUGCCAGUACAUAUACAUCUACUUCAUUCAUUGUAAGUGCAGAAUGCUUUUCAAUAGCAAGGAUAUGCCAGAAUUUUAUGACUUCCCAUAAUUAAUGGCAUUUGGGGGCCCUCCUUCACCAGUUGUUUGCUUGUAUACAUAAUGUGCCAUCAGCAUCGUCACACUUGCUUCUUUAUGCAUUCAAGUGCCAGUGGAAGGAGAAAGAUCUUGAAGUCCUGAUUCUAUCAAUUAAGUGGUCCAAGAAAGAGAAUGAGCAUCUUGAGGUCUCCAUCUUCAACAGCCUUACAGUCUGGAGGGAAGCAGACACACACACAGCUUUUACUUAGGGAGAUGGGGGUCAACUGAAGGUUAAGGGAGUGCAAAAAGAGGGAGACUGAGGGGUUCAGUCGAGGGGAUGACUGAGAAGGCUGCCUGGAGGAGGUGUGCUUGAGUCCUGGGUUCAAGGGUUAAAAGGCUCUGAUGCUUGGUCUGCUAAUCUUUCUUAUCGUAUCGUUGCCUGGCAGUAUGCCUGUUAUUUGAGUGGACUCUUCUUGGACCAUUUGCUUGGAUGAACAGUGGGCAGAAGUGGAAAGGAAGGGUGCUCUGGACAAAGGUGACAAAGCCCAGGAACAAAAGUCGGAAAGUGCACAGUGUGCCCAGAGGGCCAGGAAUUGGGUGGAGUGACUGGCUCCUUGGUCGCUUGCAAGUAGCAUGAGAACAGAGAGGGCUGGGAGCAUGCACUAAAAAGCACUAGGACAAAUUUAGGUUUGCACAGAAAAGGACGUUUCAUCAGGGUACGUGAGGAAAGUUGAGUAGAGAAUUUAGGAAUGGAGCAGACGACUCUGGUUGGGAUGAUGAGAGCGGAGAGACAGAUCCAUGUUCUUUCCAGGUGCCCCAGCAGCUCCAGGUCUCGCUGAACCUGUUACUAUGGCAGCGUCUAUGCUUCACUUUUGAGGAUUGCUUCUGCUUUGAAAUAGCCAUGUGGAAGAAAAACUACAAAGUUUUGAGGGGGAAAAAAACGCACCUAACUUUAGCUGCCGUUGUGUCUUCAUCUGUAAAAAUCUUCUUCAUGUCUCAUGGAUUUCAACAUGCAGUUUAUCUUGGUUUGUUCCAUAAAACAUCAGAUGCAACUUUAAUGGCCUAACCCCAAAAAGAUAACUUGGCAGCCAUCAAGCAUUCAGCAGCGUUCCAAAUGCCCUCUUGCUGGAGCCAGCCUUCUACGGGGCCAUGUGGAUGUCAGGCACACACAAUUUGAGUCACGCUGACAUAGCUGGGAUGCCUGGAUUGCACUGGAAUCUGGGGGGUACCAAUCACAGGCCAGAGAGAAGCCAUUGGCUGGAAGGAACAAUGCCAGCGUGUUCACCGUCUCUGCAGAAGGAGGGGGUGUUGAUGGUGAGGGGAAUGACAGUUGCAGCCAAAGGAGCAAAAUGACCCCAAAGCAGGGUGGGCACAUGUCAGUGAUGCUGGGCAGAAGCACUCCAGGGGCUCAGGUCAUGACCACACCCCUUUUCUCCUGCCCCACAACCAGAAAAAUUAAGAAGGUACAAGAUUUUCCCUAAAACUUAAUGUACAGAAUACCCUGCUGUCUUCAGGUUUUUGGGAAAUCCAGGGUUCACAACAACAGCCCAAAUAUAUGAAGCACUUACCUCUACCAGGCACUGUCUGUAUCUUACAAAUAAUUCAUUUAAUUCUCACAACUCCUUAAUGAGGUAACUUUUACAAUUUCCAUUUUAUGAUGAGGGAAACUGAGGCUUAGAAAGAUUAAGAAACUUGCCCAAAUCCUGCAGCCAGAAAUGGGCAGAAUCAAGACAUGAACCACAGUCUCUCAAAAGCCAAAGCCUGGGCACUCACUACUACCCUCAACAGCCCGGUGGCUGGUUCAUGCCAUCUGUGCCACCCUCACACAGCCACCUCUUGGAUGGUAGAACCCUGUGUGUUGAACAAGUAGAGAAACAUUCUACAAGGAUUCUUUUUCCUCCCCUGUUUUCCUGGGGGCUGAGUAGCCAUGUUUAAACAUGCUGUUCAUCCGACACUUGUUUACUUCAGUGCCUGUGAUGUGCAAGACCCCAGACCAGGAACAGUAAGAGGGCAUGAGGAUAACCCAGCGUGGAGACCACUCUGGAGGAGGCUGCAGACUGGAGGCGCUGUCGUAGCCAGCUGCAUUUUGGAGUCUGGGUUGCAUGUCUUAGAUCUCGAAUGAGUUUGGUCAUUAUUUUUUCAGCCGGGGUUUUCUUCCUCCCUCCCUGUCUUCCUUCCUUUUCUCCUUCCUUCCUUCAUUCCUUCCUUCCUUCCUUUCUUCCUUCCUUCUUUCCUCCCUCCCUCCCUUCCUUCUUCCUUUCUCUCUUUCUUUUAUUUUCUCUCUUUCUUUCUUUUAUUUUCUCUCUUUCUCUGUCUCUCUCUUUCUUCCUCCCUCCCUCCCUUUCUCUCCUUCUUUCUUUCUCCCUCCCUCCUCUCCUCCCUCUCUUGGUCUCUCUCUCUCUCUCCCUUCCUUCCUUUGUUCUUUCAAGAUUUUUCUUUCUUUCUUUCUUUUUUUAAAGGUGUAAGCCUUUUUCUGGUUUACUACAUGCCAAGGACUGCGCUAAAUCAUUCACAUGAAACCACCAGCGUGCAUCACCUCGUUUGGUCCUCCCACAGUCUAACGGAAGAAUCUACCAUAAAACCAACAGACUCCUCCUGAUCUCUACCUGUGCUGUCUGCCUCUCUAGUUCCGGACACUGAGAGCUGGUGCCCUGUGGCCACCUCAAGCUGGAACCCUGCAAGAUCACCAAGAAGACUGCGUGCCUCGCUCUAGCCUUCCGAAGGGAAAGUAGACUCCUGUUUUUGAGAGAAAUUACCUGAUUUCGAGAGAAACGUAAAGGACUUUUUUUUCCUUAACAUUCCACUCGUAAAAAUGAAGUUUGGAAGAACUUCUGCAAACUCUGAGUGUUUUGGUCAAUUGACCUUUUACUGUACUAAGCAAAUCUGAAGCCACAAAUACAUUGGGGAGGAAGGUAUACCCUUCACAAAAGAUUCGUCACUUAGCCAGAUACUCUGUUGCCAUGCUUCUUUAAAUAAAGCACAUUUCUGGUA